GGUGGCUCAGUGCUAGAGCGCUUGCCUUGCAUGCAUGAAGCCCUGGGUUCAAUUCCUCAGCACCA
rnacentral:tRNA from 1 species